AUUGGUAGAUAUGAGGAAAGAUACCAAAAAUACCACGAUAUUUCUUAAGAAGCAAAUGGGUAAACUCGCAUUGUUUUAUCACUUUUGUGUUUUCUCCUACUGCGGCCCGUAAGACAUCGUCAAAAAUUUUCGCGUCCCGGCAACUUUGGACCACCCUAGGGUAGAUCUUUAUAUAACGAAUUCUGCAAUUAGUAAAACAAAAAUGAAUGCCUCGAUAAACAUGUAGGGAAAUCGAUUUUCAAUACGAUUCCAGAAAAUCUGUGGAUUUCCACACAUAUAAAAAUUUAGAUUCAAAAGCUCGCUCUAUCCCAAUCGCUAAGACAAGUAGUAAUUUCAACAACCGUAUUCAUAUAUCACAGAGUUGGUUUAGGAUUAAAUGUAAUUACUUUAAGCCACAUAACAUGUAUUUGGAAGAUUGCCAAUCAUAUCUCCCUGUCCUUAUUUUCUUUUAUAGUGCGAAGAAAAUUCCAUUUGUACAGGCAUUCAGGACGAAAGCAAACUUUUUUCCUAAUCCUAGGUAACAUUAGGACACGCGAAAGACCACUCAUUUAACCUUAUUUCUUGACAACGUGUGGAUACCAAGAGAUAACCACAAAAGACUUCUAAGAGAAUGAUAACAGCAACAAAAUAUGUGGAUAAUAAAAUAUUAUUCAUGUGCUCGAAGAACAAAUCAGGUGGCAAAGACGGUUCUAAUCUAUUUAUCAAAAUUGAGUUUGCAGAAAAGGGCAUUCAAGUCUUUCGGAUCGUCGCACGGUGGUGUGAGUGGACUUUAUUUUUUGACGCGUGUGGAUUCCAAGAAAUUCCUUCACGAGAAUGAUAAUAGCAACAAAAUGUGGGAUAAUAAAUAAUAUAAAAAGCGAUACAGGCAACGUCCGCACAUUUACCCACAUUACUUGAAAAUUAUGAAGGAUAAAAAUCAACUCAAAUAUCUUCAGAGAAGAGGAGAUUGGCAGAAAUCAAAGGGUUAAACCGUAGUAGUAUAUAUUUACGGUUAAACACAUACGUAGAAUAUGAUUGAAUAUUUUACAGAUUGCAUUUAUUAUAAAUGUUUUAUUGUUUCUUAAUUUAAAUGCUGUGUAUAUAAAUCAA